GACGUCGAAUAUCGACGUCAUAAACACCAAAGUUGAUCGUGUUUAUGACGUCGAAUAUCGACAUCAUAAACAUCUAAGUUUAUCGUGUUUAUGACGUCGAAUAUCGACGCCAUAAACACCAAAGUUGACCGUGUUUAUGACGUCGAAUAUCGACGGCAUAAACACCAAAGUUGAUCGUGUAUAUGACGUCGAAUAUCGACGUCAUAAACACCAAAGUUGAUCGUGUUUAUGACGUCGAAUAUCGACGUC
rnacentral:miRNA from 1 species